rnacentral:rRNA from 1 species
GAUGAACGCUGGCGGCGUGCCUAAUACAUGCAAGUCGAGCGAACAGACGAGGAGCUUGCUCCUCUGACGUUAGCGGCGGACGGGUGAGUAACACGUGGAUAACCUACCUAUAAGACUGGGAUAACUUCGGGAAACCGGAGCUAAUACCGGAUAAUAUAUUGAACCGGAUGGUUCAAUAGUGAAAGACGGUUUUGCUGUCACUUAUAGAUGGAUCCGCGCCGCAUUAGCUAGUUGGUAAGGUAACGGCUUACCAAGGCAACGAUGCGUAGCCGACGUGAGAGGGUGAUCGGCCACACUGGAACUGAGACACCGUCCAGACUCCUACGGGAGGCAGCAGUAGGGAAUCUUCCGCAAUGGGCGAAAGCCUGACGGAGCAACGCCGCGUGAGUGAUGAAGGUCUUCGGAUCGUAAAACUCUGUUAUUAGGGAAGAACAAAUGUGUAAGUAACUAUGCACGGCUUGACGGUACCUAAUCAGAAAGCCACGGCUAACUACGUG